rnacentral:rRNA from 1 species
UACGGGGGGGGGCAAGCGUUGUUCGGAAUUACUGGGCGUAAAGGGCUCGUAGGCGGCCAACUAAGUCAGACGUGAAAUCCCUCGGCUUAACCGGGGAACUGCGUCUGAUACUGGAUGGCUUGAUUCGGGAGAGGGAUGCGGAAUUCCAGGUGUAGCGGUGAAAUGCGUAGAUAUCUGGAGGAACACCGGUGGCGAAGGCGGCAUCC